rnacentral:rRNA from 1 species
CAGUUCGGAUUGUAGUCUGCAACUCGACUACAUGAAGCUGGAAUCGCUAGUAAUCGCGAAUCAGAAUGUCGCGGUGAAUACGUUCCCGGGUCUUGUACACACCGCCCGUCACACCAUGGGAGUCAGUAACGCCCGAAGCCGGUGACCCAACCAGUUCAGGAGGGAGCCGUCGAAGGUGGGACCGAUAACUGGGGUGAAGUCGUAACAAGGUAAC